AUGAGUAGGAUACAACAAAAAUCUGAUGUGCUCAAUAUUUUGUUCAGUCUCAAAAACAUGUUAAACGCCUUCUCAAGCACAAAAUUGUUCAUGUCUAGUCGGACUAGGGGGGGGGGCGAGUAUCGCAACCUCAACUCCGUCUUUCAGUCGCUUGGGAUCGCUCACCGUUUAGCAUGUCCACAUACACAUCGGCAGAAUGGUUCAGUAGAAUGUAAGCAUCGCCACAUCAUUGAAACUGGUAUUACUCUUUUGGCUCAUGCAUCUGUUCUGUUUCGGUUUUGGAGUGAUGCUCUCACCACUUCAUGCUUUCUUAUCAACCGUACUCCCACUCAUGUUUUGAACAUGAAGACUCCCAUUGAAGUUCUUCUUAAUGAACAACCAGACUACACCUUCUUCAAGGUGUUUGGGUGUGCUUGCUGGCCCAUCUCCGUCCAUAUAACAAGCGUAAGCUCGAGUUUUGUUCCAAGAAGUGUGUCUUUCUUGGUUAUAGCUCUCUUCAUAAAGGAUACAAAUGUCUUCAUGUCCGCACUAAUCGUGUCUAUAUAUCUCGGGAUGUCGUGUUUGAUGAGCAUGUUUUUCCCUUUGCCAAACUCCCUAUGUCUACUGCCGAACCACCACCCAUGCAUUCAUCCUCUGUUGCUUCUGACCAAUUUGAUGAUGUUGCAUCUUCUCCAAUAUUGUUGCCUAAUCAUGGUGCAGGCACUGGUCGUGGGGCUCGUUUGGAGAUUUUAG
rnacentral:rRNA from 1 species